rnacentral:rRNA from 1 species
AUUGAACGCUGGCGGCAUGCUUUACACAUGCAAGUCGAACGGUAACAGGCCUUCGGGUGCUGACGAGUGGCGAACGGGUGAGUAAUGCAUCGGAACGUGCCCAAUCGUGGGGGAUAACGUAGCGAAAGUUACGCUAAUACCGCAUAAGCCCUGAGGGGGAAAGUGGGGGACCGCAAGGCCUCACGCGAAUGGAGCGGCCGAUGUCAGAUUAGCUAGUUGGUGGGGUAAAGGCCCACCAAGGCGACGAUCUGUAGCGGGUCUGAGAGGAUGAUCCGCCACACUGGGACUGAGACACGGCCCAGACUCCUACGGGAGGCAGCAGUGGGGAAUUUUGGACAAUGGGCGCAAGCCUGAUCCAGCCAUGCCGCGUGCGGGACGAAGGCCUUUGGGUUGUAAACCGCUUUCAGCCGGAAAGAAAUCGCCGUUUUUAANACUAGACGGUGGAUGACGGUACCGGAAGAAGAAGCACCGGCUAACUACGUG